UAUUUCUUAUCAUUUUUAUUGUAGAGGUAACAUUUUAUCCAGAAAUUGAGCUUUGCUGUGACGAAGAAGUCAGUGAACUAUCAAAGCACCGAGGAAUAUGUGUUGGAAAUAUUAAAAACGACCGAAAUUCGAGCAUAACCUGGUGUGGAGAAAAGGGAACGUCACGACCUUUUAAAUGUUGUAACGGGAAAACUUUUUACAACGCAACAUUAUUCAAAUGCUUGAAUAACACAGUAGUUCCGAUUGAAUACGAUAUCUGUAACGGUGAAUUCUAUGAUAAAAGAAGGCGAAUCUGUUGUGGCCGGUCAACGCUCUAUGGUGAAUCUUCCUAUCAGUCCAAUUUCAAAUGUUGCGGCUCCUCUUUAAUUGACAGACGGGUAAAGCAAUGCUGUAUUUGGUCUGGAUCCGCCUACGUUCAACCGAAAACAGGACACUGCUGUGGAGGACAACUUUAUCAGCAAAAAUCAGAAAUCUGCUGCAAAGGCAAUCGAAUUGCUGCUGAUGAAAAUAUAAGAUGUUGCGGCGAUGGAUUUUACAACUCUACCUUUCAACUUUGCUGUCAUUCUGAAAAAUCUGCCACUCCAUUCGAUAAGAAGAGUGAAAAAUGUUGU